rnacentral:rRNA from 1 species
CCUACGGGAGGCAGCAGUGGGGAAUAUUGCACAAUGGGGGAAACCCUGAUGCAGCGACGCCGCGUGAGUGAAGAAGUAAUUCGUUAUGUAAAGCUCUAUCAGCAGGGAAGAAAAUGACGGUACCUGAGUAAGAAGCCCCGGCUAACUACGUGCCAGCAGCCGCGGUAAUACGUAGGGGGCAAGCGUUAUACGGAUUUACUGGGUGUAAAGGGAGCGUAGACGGGAGUGCAAGUCUGGAGUGAAAGGCGGGGGCGCAACCCCCGGACUGCUGUGGAAACUGUACGGCUGGAGUGCAGGAGAGGUAAGUGGAAUGCGUAGUGUAGCGGUGAAAUGCGUAGAUAUUAGGAAGAACACCAGUGGCGAAGGCAGCGUACUGGACUGUAACUGACGUUGAGGCUCGAAAGCGUGGGGAGCAAACAGGAUUAGAUACCCCGGUAGUC